rnacentral:rRNA from 1 species
GUGCCAGCAGCCGCGGUAAUACAGAGGUCUCAAGCGUUGUUCGGAUUUACUGGGCGUAAAGCGUGCGUAGGCGGCGAGGUAAGUCAGAUGUGAAAGCUCGGGGCUCAACCCCGAAAUUGCAUCCGAUACUGCCUUGCUCGAGUAGUGGAGGGGGGUCUGGAAUUCACGGUGUAGCAGUGAAAUGCGUAGAUAUCGUGAGGAACACUAGUGGCGAAGGCGAGACCCUGGACACUUACUGACGCUGAGGUACGAAGGCUAGGGUAGCGAAGCGGAUUAGAAACCCGCGUAGUCC